GCGAACGUUAGCGGCGGGCCUAACACAUGCAAGUCGAGCGGUAACAUUUCUAGCUUGCUAGAAGAUGACGAGCGGCGGACGGGUGAGUAACGCGUAGAAAUCUACCUAGUAGUGGGGGAUAGCCCAGAGAAAUUUGGAUUAAUACCGCAUACGCCCUACGGGGGAAAGCGGGGGAUCUUCGGACCUCGUGCUACUAGAUGAGUCUGCGUCGGAUUAGCUUGUUGGUGAGGUAAUGGCUCACCAAGGCGACGAUCCGUAGCUGGUCUGAGAGGAUGACCAGCCACACUGGAACUGAGACACGGUCCAGACUCCUACGGGAGGCAGCAGUGGGGAAUAUUGCACAAUGGGCGCAAGCCUGAUGCAGCCAUGCCGCGUGUGUGAAGAAGGCCUUAGGGUUGUAAAGCACUUCAGCAGUGAGGAAAGGGGUGUCGUUAAUAGCGCCAUCCUGUGACGUUAACUGCAGAAGAAGGACCGGCUAACUCCGUG
rnacentral:rRNA from 1 species